rnacentral:misc_RNA from 1 species
GGGACAAGAAGACAGGAUGAAGAAUUCCAUAGAUUAAAAAGUUCCUUGAUACUCUUUGUUCUGUUUGGUUUAUGAAUUAGGAUUGACUUGUUAGUUUAUGUGGUUGGAUGUUCUGGUUAGUGCUAAGCGCUGGAGGUGCAUGUGAGCACUGAUAUGAUAAUAAACCAUUUUACAGAGGUAGCAAAAUACAUUGAUGAUGGCUACUGGCAUAGUUAUUAAAGGCGCGCC